GCCGCGUCGACCCUAGGUUGAAAACUGGGGGAGUGAGCUGUGGGUAGGGGUGGAAAGGACCGAACUACAAACUUACGUGAUAGCUGGUUCUCCCCGAAACUAGCAUUUAGGUGCAGCGUCACGUGUUUCUUGCCGGAGGUAGAGCUACUGGAUGGCCGAUGGGCCCCGACCGGGUUACUGACGUCAGCCAAACUCCGAAUGCCGGUAAGUGAGAGCGUGGCAGUGAGACUGCGGGGGAUAAGCUCCGUAGUCGAGAGGGAAACAGCCCAGAUCACCAGCUAAGGCCCCUAAGCGUGUGCUAAGUGGGAAAGGAUGUGGAGUUGCUGUGACAACCAGGAGGUUGGCUUAGAAGCAGCCACCCUUUAAAGAGUGCGUAAUAGCUCACUGGUCAAGUGAUUCUGCGCCGAAAAAUGUACCGGGGCG
rnacentral:rRNA from 1 species